AUUCAGCCCUCUAUCUACUGCCCCUUUUGUAGUUUUGGCCCCCUAAACCAAUUUUGACCAAGUCAUUGCUGACGUGGCCGUCACGUGUGUAAUUAUUAUUUUUAUUUUAUAAUUAAAAAAAAUUACACACGUGGCGGCCACGUCAGGAUUGACUUGGUCAAAAUUGAUCUCGGAGGCCAAAACUGCAAAAGGAGCAGUACUUAGGGGGCUGGAU
rfam:Medicago truncatula strain A17 chromosome 3, whole genome shotgun sequence.